CCCUGCCCCCCCUACUCUUACGGGAGGCAGCAGUGGGGAAUAUUGCACAAUGGGCGCAAGCCUGAUGCAGCGACGCCGCGUGAGGGAUGACGGCCUUUGGGUUGUAAACCUCUUUCAGUAGGGAAGAAGCCGUAAGGUGACGGUACCUGCAGAAGAAGCGCCGGCUAACUACGUGCCAGCAGCCGCGGUAAUACGUAGGGCGCAAGCGUUAUCCGGAAUUAUUGGGCGUAAAGAGCUCGUAGGCGGUUUGUCGCGUCUGCCGUGAAAGUCCGGGGCUCAACUCCGGAUCUGCGGUGGGUACGGGCAGACUAGAGUGAUGUAGGGGAGACUGGAAUUCCUGGUGUAGCGGUGAAAUGCGCAGAUAUCAGGAGGAACACCGAUGGCGAAGGCAGGUCUCUGGGCAUUAACUGACGCUGAGGAGCGAAAGCAUGGGGAGCGAACAGGAUUAGAUACCCUGGUAGUCCAUGCCGUAAACGUUGGGCACUAGGUGUGGGGGACAUUCCACGUUUUCCGCGCCGUAGCUAACGCAUUAAGUGCCCCGCCUGGGGAGUACGGCCGCAAGGCUAAAACUCAAAGGAAUUGACGGGGGCCCGCACAAGCGGCGGAGCAUGCGGAUUAAUUUGAUGCAACGCGAAGAACCUUACCAAGGCUUGACAUGAACCGGAAAGAUCUGAAACCACUCCCCCCCCCA
rnacentral:rRNA from 1 species